AUGGUCAAGUUACAAAGAGCACAAGGGGAAUGCCUUGGCACUGAGAGCCGAUGAAGGACGCGACAAGCUGCGAUAAGCUUCGG
rnacentral:rRNA from 1 species